rnacentral:rRNA from 1 species
CCUACGGGAGGCUGCAGUCAAGAAUCUUCCCCAAUGGGCGAAAGCCUGAGGGAGCGACGCCGCGUGACCGAUGAAGCCCUUCGGGGUGUAAAGGUCUUUUAUAUGGGAAAAAUCUGAUGGUACCAUAUGAAUAAGCCACGGCUAACUCUGUGCCAGCAGCCGCGGUAAGACAGAGGUGGCAAGCGUUAUCCGGAAUCACUGGGCGUAAAGAGUUCGUAGGUGGUUUUUUAAGUCAGGUGUUAAAUCUUCGAGCCCAACUCGAAGGCCGCAUCUGAAACUAAAAAACUUGAGAAAGAGAGAGGUCGAUGAAAUUCCCGGUGUAGCGGUAAAAUGCGCAGAUAUCGGGAAGAACACCAGUGGCGAAGGCGGCUUCCGGGACUGCGACUGACGCUGAGGUGCGAAAGCUAGGGGAGCGAACAGGAUUAGAUCCCCCUGUAGU